UACGAAGGGUGCAAACGUUGCUCGGAAUCAUUGGGCGUAAAGCGCACGUAGGCGGCUUGACAAGUCGGAUGUGAAAUCCCUCGGCUCAACCAAGGAAGUGCAUCCGAAACUGUCGAGCUUGAGUACGAAAGAGGAUCGCGGAAUUCCCGGUGUAGAGGUGAAAUUCGUAGAUAUCGGGAGGAACACCAGUGGCGAAGGCGGCGAUCUGGGUCGAUACUGACGCUGAGGUGCGAAAGCGUGGGGAGCAAAC
rnacentral:rRNA from 1 species